rnacentral:rRNA from 1 species
UACGUAGGGGGCGAGCGUUGUCCGGAUUUACUGGGCGUAAAGCGCGUGUAGGCGGGAGAUUAAGUCGGGUGUGAAAGCCCGGGGCUCAACCCCGGGAUGCCGCCCGAGACUGGUCUCCUUGAGGACGGAAGAGGGGAGUGGAAUUCCUGGUGUAGCGGUGAAAUGCGUAGAGAUCAGGAGGAACACCAGUGGCGAAGGCGGGUCUCUGGACAGUUCCUGACACUGAGGCACGAAGGCCAGGGGAGCAAACGGG